AUGGGAGGGGGGAAUCAGACUGAGCAGUCUCUCUCUGCAUUCAAAACGUCUAUGAACAUUGUUGAAACACCAUGUGACUGUGUGAUUGUUUUGCAUUUCUGGAAAUUGCUCUGCAAGGUGCUGGGCGAUAGCGAAAGCCAGCCCCUGGCGUUGCACGGCUCCCAGCACCGCUGCACUGUCACACCAGGAGCUUUGUUGUACAAAGAAAGCACAACUGGAGUCUGCUGCUUUGUCCCUAUUAUAAGCAGCUUUUCUGCAAUCAACAACCGAUCACCAUCAGAGCAGGGUAGCAUCAGAUUUCGGGAGGAAGAUGCAAUGGGAUGGUGCAGCUCAGGGAUGCUCCUUGCAAAAGGGCAGUUCAAUUAAGGAAAUGAGGGAUACCUUGUCAAAGGACUGCUCUUUUUGGGGAGGAGUUCCCCUCUCCGAGAUUCCUGUGCCAAAUCUAAAACUGCCUGGAGCUUCUGUUGUACAAAUCCCCACCCAUCCUUCUGCCCAGCCAGAAACACCGGUGCCUCAUCAAUGUGCAUGUGGCCCUGUGCAGGCCCAAAGGUACAGGCAAGCUUGGUUUUCCUGGUUUUCCUCACCUCCUUCUUGCCUGUAGGUCAGAACAUCAGACAUGCGUUGCUCUACAGACUGCAACCUGGAGCCCUACCAGCAGCACAGCUACUGGUUUUACAUCUAAGGCAAGACUCAUUGCCAAGAAAAAUCUCCUAGAAAGUCCUGCGCGCCUGCUUUUAUUCCUCACACUGCUGGGUGAUGUGUCCCGUGAGCAGCUCAGCCCUCCCUGCUUUUAAUGACCGUGCUGCCAGGGCUUGCUCCCCACUGUAGUCUCUUGCUGGCAAAAAUCUGGCAGGGAUUUGCCUUACUACUGCUUGGAUGGUGUUGAGGUGAAUAAAAGUGUAGCUGCUGGUGCUACCGUGCUCCUCUGGGCACAGAGGUCGGAGCAGUUGCUGUGUGAGUGGGGCCGGGAGGGGAUGGCACUGGCUGCCCACGGGGUUGUCCCUGCAUCCUGGAUUUGGGAAUGGCCUGGCUCUGGGCUGAGCAAGCCAUGGCAAUUUUCACCCCAUUUGUCAGGCAAGGACACUAAAGCACAAAAAUGCUCAGGAUGGGCUUUUUCCAAAAGCAUCUGGUGAUUUUGGGCUAGCUAUGGAUUAACCUGCCAUUUUCUCUCAGGUGGGUCACCUCACCGGCUGCCUCAGAAAAAGCUGGCUCCAUCAAUUUGCCCGCAGCUGCCCAGAUAACCGGCAGCAGACAUAAACAGAAGCCAGACCCCAGAGGCACAGUCCUGUGAUGCAAACCUGAGAUCGUCCUUCCUUUUUUAGGAGCUAAUCCUUUGUCCUUGCAGCAAGAGGCAUAAAUGCGAUUUUUUUUUACACAUCACUGUGUGUUUAAUGUUUAACAGUGGGAUCAUUACGGUUUUAUUAGCAGUAUGUAAUGCUUUUUCAUCUUCAACUGACUUUGCAAACAUUAACUAAUUGAUUUCAACUAUGAAUUGGCAUGGUGGUAACUAAGAGAAGUGAUCUGCUCCUGGCCGCAGAGGAAGUCGUCGUGAGAACAGGGUGCAGAAAGCAGGGCUCCCGGUGUGCUGCUUGGACCGCCAACGCCGGCGUUUUUCUUACAGCCAUUUCCAGCGGUGCUGUUUUCAGGGAGGGCCGUUCCGCGUGCGAUAAGCAAGCCUCGUCUGUCUCUUUCAGCUCCUGGUUGAGCUGGACAAAAUGUUGUAUGUCUUGCUGAACCCCGUAAAUUGCUGAUUUUAAAAAAAAAGAAAAGAAAAAAGGAAAAAAAAAAAGAAAAAAAAAGAAAAAAAGGAAAAAAAAAAAAGAAAAAAAACGAAAAAAAAGAAAAAAAAGAAGGAAAAAAAAGGUGAUUGACUCAGUUUUCUUAUGUGAUCCAUUGGUUGCUGGUUGUUUCCAGCUCGCCCUGACCAAGUGCAUAAUUAAAAUGUAAAAAUUUUAUAAAAAUUCGUGGGAAUUAGAUCCUAAAGUCAGAAAUUGCUUGCGAUCAGACAGCGCUAUCUUAAAGACAGGGCUGCCUUGAAGCACCCUGAAGACGUCCCCCCGGACACGAGCCGCAGGUCCGCAGCGCGCCCGCACGCUUUGCCCCCUCCUCUCCCUCACGCUGCGCCCCUUCCCCGUCGCGACGGCGGCUUGGGGGGGCAGCGGGGGCGCAGCGGGGUGACACAGCCCGCCGCUUCGGGGUCUGCGGGGACAGAGGGGACGGGGAGGGAGGCGACGGGCUUUGGGGGGGGGGGGGGACCCGAGGGGCCGCGCUGCCCCCGGUGCGCGGUGCC
rnacentral:lncRNA from 1 species